GACGAACGCUGGCGGCGUGCUUAACACAUGCAAGUCGAACGGAAAGGCCCGCCACCUUGGUGGUGGGUACUCGAGUGGCGAACGGGUGAGUAACACGUGGGUGAUCUGCCCCGCACUGUGGGAUAAGCCUGGGAAACUGGGUCUAAUACCACAUACGACCAUGGCGUAGGGGUCAUGGUGGAAAGCUUUUGCGGUGUGGGAUGAGCCCGCGGCCUAUCAGCUUGUUGGUGGGGUAAUGGCCUACCAAGGCGGCGACGGGUAGCCGGCCUGAGAGGGUGGACGGCCACAUUGGGACUGAGACACGGCCCAGACUCCUACGGGAGGCAGCAGUGGGGAAUAUUGCACAAUGGGCGCAAGCCUGAUGCAGCGACGCCGCGUGGGGGAUGAAGGCCUUCGGGUUGUAAACUCCUUUCGCCCGGGACGAAGCCCACCUGGUGGGGACGG
rnacentral:rRNA from 1 species